CAGGGCUCGUGCAGGAGGCAACCAACUGAUGUGUUUCUCUCACAUUGAUGUUUCUCUCUCUGUCUUUCCCUUUCUCUUCCACUCUUCUCCUAGACCCCCCAAAGAAAGCCCAAAUUUGAUUCACUGGAGGAAUCCUCUUACUAGGUUUAACCAGCAGAACAUCUGUACAAAUUGAUACUUCUACCACCCAUGUGUCAAUACCUAUUUAUCAGCAACCUUGCCCAUGGGCAUGUUGGAAGAAGAAACACUUGUGGUGGUGGAGGAAACAAACAUUUAUUGUGGUGACAGAGAGAAGGAUUACUUACCAUGUUUCAGUCCCUUUGGAGAAAGGAUGUCUUUCCUCACUCACCCUCAGCUUGGUUGAGGACUGAUGAGCAUUGGGGCUCUACUGAAAGGCAUGGCGAACCUGCCUGUGCUCUCCUAUUCUUUCUGGAAUUUGUGCUUUGCGGGAUUUGGGGGUCACGAGGCAGGCCUACAAUCCACCGUGUGAUACUCUGGUUAACAGAGACUCUAUUUUCAUGUCCCCUUCUCAAAUGGGAGUGCCGUGGAGAAUGCCGUGGCAUACCCAGCACCCCACACCAAACCCAGCACAUCUCCCUGGAACAAGGAAUGAUUGAAACAUCUAAAAGGAACUUAGCUGGCAAGUGAGGACAUUUUCUAUAUUAAAGCAUACUCAGAUGUAUUAGUGAAUAGAAUGGAAAAUUGAAAUAUCAAAAUUAACUUUCAACACAUAAAACCUCAAAUAAAUUAGGGUGUGUUUUUCCCUUUGUU